CGGAGCAAUACCGCGUGAGGGAGGAAGGCUCUUGGGUUGUAAACCUCUUUUCUCAGGGAAUAAGAAAGUGAAGGUACCUGAGGAAUCAGCAUCGGCUAACUCCGUGCCAGCAGCCGCGGUAAUACGGAGGAUGCAAGCGUUAUCCGGAAUGAUUGGGCGUAAAGCGUUCGCAGGUGGUUGCUCAAGUCUGCUGUCAAAGAGUUUGGCUCAACCAAAUAAAGGCAGUGGAAACUGAGAGACUAGAGUACGGUAAGGGCAGAGGGAAUUCCUGGUGUAGCGGUGAAAUGAGUAGAGAUCAGGAAGAACACCGGUGGCGAAAGCGCUCUGCUGGCCCGUAACUGACACUGAGGACGAAAAGGUAA
rnacentral:rRNA from 2 species